rnacentral:rRNA from 1 species
CACACGACUCUCGGCAACGGAUAUCUCGGCUCUCGCAUCGAUGAAGAACGUAGCGAAAUGCGAUACCUGGUGUGAAUUGCAGAAUCCCGUGAACCAUCGAGUCUUUGAACGCAAGUUGCGCCCGAGGCCAUCCGGCCGAGGGCACGCCUGCCUGGGCGUCACAC